GCGUGGCAGACGGUUAUCCUGUGAUGAAACGGUUUUUCCACGGCAGCGAAGCGGUCAGGGAUGAAGAGACGUGGCGGACAAACAGGUGGCGACUAUCCGGAAAUGGGACGGUUUUUUCUCGACGGCGAUGGGAAAUGGGAUGGUUUUUCAGGUGCAGCGAAGCGGUCGGGAACAGAGCAGGGCAGAAUAUCAGAGGCGAUUAGGGUAGGCGUAGCUGACGAUCACGAGACGAUUGUCAUCGGUUGCAACGGUAUUUCCACGGCGGCGAGGAGGGAUGGACUAUCCGGAAAUGGGACGGUUUUUUUACGGCGGCGACGGGAAAUGGGACGGAUUUUCAACGGCAGCGAAUCGGUCGGGAACAGAGAUGGUGCGACAGGGAUUAAGAUGGCGUAACGGAGGUGAUAGUAGAAUAGGACGGUUUGUUUCUAGCGAUUAUAUGCUCUGAGAAAAAGCUGGCACUUGGAUGAACAGCAAGCUGCGAAAUGAUCCGAAAAAUAGACAUGGCGAACAAGUAAAAGUAGCAAUCAGAUGGCAGCGAUGAAGGAAUGAUAAUAUUUUUCCAUGCAAGGUAAUUAAUUAGUGGCAAUACCAUCGGUAGUAGCAAUCAUGAUGGAUAGCAUAGUGUGGACAAUCUGAAGACGACGAUGGGGGAUUAAAGUUGCAUGGCGAACGAUUAGAAAAUGGCGAUCGGCGGUGAGAUGAUCUGAGAAUAGCUGGCACGCGGACGCACAGGAAGCUGUGAAGUGAUCAGGAAAGUCAGGAAAGACAAACAAUUAGAAAAGUAGCGAUCGGAAACUAAACCAUUUCAAGGUAGUUUCACAGCAACAGGCAGUAGAGGAAAAAGAUAAAGUAACAGUCAGAUGACAGCAAUAAGGGAAUGAAAAUAUUUUUUCGGCAAGGUAAUUAGUGGCAAAACCAUCGAUAGCAAUCAUGAUGGAUAGCAUAGUGGAAGAUUUGAAGACGAAUGAAUGAUUUGGAAAUUAAAAUGGCGUGACAGACGAUUAGAAUAGAAAGAUGUUUGCAUGGCGAAUCAUGGAUAAAGAUGGCGCUGCAAGCAAUCAGAAGACGACGGUUUUCUUCAAAAAUGGAACUGUUUUUCCAAAGCGUAAAGUGAUCCUGGAAGAUGCCAAGCAACGAUCAAAUGGCUGCUACCCACAAAUGGAAUUGUUUUGUUACGAAAACGAGACUAUUUAGGAAGAUUGCGUGGCAGACAAUCAAAAGGAUACUAUCCAAGGAGAUAGAGAAAAAAAUUGAGCAGAAAAGAGAUGGUAUAGCAAACAACCAGAUGGCAGCUAUGAGGCAACGACAAGAUUUUUCCAUGACGGCUAUUUUUCAUAGUGCUAAGGCCAACCAUCGAUGACAAUCAUUAUAGACAGCGCCUGAAGAUGGCGAUGGGGGAUUGAAGUUGUGUGGCGGAUAUUUAUAAGGCGGCGAUCGGAGAAUAAAACGAUUUUGUCACAUUGGCAAGGCAAUUACGGAUGAAAUUGGCAUGACAGACGAUCGGAAGGCAAUUUGCACGGCGAAUCAUGAAUAAAGAUAGCAUAAUGGACAAUCAGAAUAUGGCGGCAGAGGAGUGGUGUUGCAGACGACUAAAAAAUGCCAAGUGACGGAUCAUUUGACUGCUAUCCACAAAUGGAACGGUUUUGUUACAAGAACGAGGUCUACGGUCAGAAAGAAGGUAUCUAAAAAAUUGAGAAGAAAAAAGGUGUAAUGCAGGGUUAGAGGACCGCUGUCUCAAGAGUAAUGGGGUGCUGCAGACUAUAACGAGUUAAUAUUUCUUACUAACAAUACGUUUCAUUAUACCCACUGUAUCAAAUGCCAUGAAGAGGCAGUUUUAACACCAGUGGUAAGAGUAAGAUACUUCAUGAAGUGAAAGGUUAUUUUGUCACUGAAAUAAACUUAUGUGUAUGUGAAGAUAUCUCAUUUAUUUCAGAAGAGUUACUGAUGAAGAUGGUGUCAUUGCGAGUAGAAAAUUGCAUACCAGUAUGAAUGUUACUAGUUAGAGACUAAAAUCCUUGCCGACUAUCGAUAGGUGUUCUUUUUCUGUCAGGAGCUAUACAGUGUGUCUCUGAAAUAAUUGCGUUCCUUGAAAAUAGUGAUAGAUGGCACGAAAAUGAACAACUUUUAUUAAAACAACUGAUGGUUUAAAUGCUUCUAUUUUCGAAAAAAUUAAUUAAGAAAAUUGACCAUAAAUGAGCCGACCCUGUGCAUCUUGUGCAGGUGCAUGGCCAGAAUGGGAACUCGAAAAUCCGUACGCAAUUGAAUGAUAUCACUUCUAACACCGUUUUUCACUGAAUAUUUGGGCCGGAAUUAUUAAUGAGCGCCUAAUUAGGCCGUUGUUAUUGCCCAAUCGUAUGGAUGGUUUACAAUAUCUCUAAUGUCUGCAAUGACCUGCCCGCCCUUCUUGAAAUUGUACCCCUAGCUGUCGAACAACGCAUGUGGUUUUUACAUAAUGGGACACCUCACUUUCGGCUAGAUUGUUCGAGAUUAUCUCCAUCAAGUGUACGGAAUACGGUGGAUUGAACAAGGUGGAUCGGUAGCACGGCCUCCAUGGUCUCCCGAUUUAAACCCUUUUGACUUCUUUUUGUAGGGCAAUUUAAAAAAUAAGGUAUACCGAAGUGAAAACCGUCGAGGAUUUGCGCAAGCGUAUCACAGCUGCCACGAAUAAUUUGCAUUUACAACAGCGACCAGGAAGAACAUUCGCUUUAGUACGACAAAAUUGGAUAAGGCGUGCCCAAAUAUAUGUACAUCGAGGGACAAAAUUUCGAACAGCUUUUGUAAUAAGGGAUACUUCACAACUUCAAGAUGUAUGGUAUACACUCGUCCAACACAAGUUAAAACCGGCAGAUACAAACUUCAUUAAUAAUAUAUAAAAUAAGUUAAGUCUCACUGUAAUAAAUCCAUAAGUUCAUUUGUAAAAUACUUAAUUAAAAAUAAAACGUUCGGAUUA